rnacentral:rRNA from 1 species
GACAGAGAGAAACGAAGUAGUGAUGCAGAGUAAAACUCAAAAAACGGUACUCAGUUCGGAUUGAAGGCUGAAAUUCGCCUUCAUGAAGCUGGAAUUGCUAGUAAUGGCAGGUCAGCAUACUGCCGUGAAUACGUUCCCGGGCCUUGUACACACCGCCCGUCAAGCCAUGGGAGCCGGGGGUGCCUGAAGUUCGUGACCGCAAGGAGCGACCUAGGGCAAAACUGGUGACUGGGGCUAAGUCGUAACAAGGUAAC